rnacentral:rRNA from 1 species
CUACGGGAGGCAGCAGUGGGGAAUCUUGUGCAAUGCGCGAAAGCGUGACGCAGCAACGCCGCGUGGGGGAAGACGGCCUUCGGGUUGUAAACCCCUUUCAGGAGGGACGAAGGUUCACCGGUGAAUAGCCGUGUGGAUUGACGGUACCUCCACAAGAAGCUCCGGCUAACUACGUGCCAGCAGCCGCGGUAAUACGUAGGGAGCAAGCGUUGUCCGGAAUCAUUGGGCGUAAAGCGCGCGUAGGUGGCUUCGUAAGUCCGUUGUGAAAGUCAAAGGCUCAACCUUUGAAAGCCGAUGGAUACUGCGGAGCUAGAGUACGGAAGAGGCGAGUGGAAUUCCUGGUGUAGCGGUGGAAUGCGCAGAUAUCAGGAGGAACACCAAUAGCGAAGGCAGCUCGCUGGGACGUUACUGACACUGAGGCGCGAAAGCGUGGGGAGCGAACAGGAUUAGAUACCCUGGUAGUCC